rnacentral:pre_miRNA from 1 species
CCCACCUAGGGAUCUUGUUAAAAUGUGGAUUCUGAUUCGGUAGGGGCCCAAGAGUCUGCAUUCCUAACAAGCUCCCAGGUGAAGCCGA